rnacentral:lncRNA from 1 species
GCUGUUUAUUUCUAUUGAUGUCAACCUUGAAUGAUUUUUAUUAACUCCCAAAUAAAUGCUUUAUUAUUUUCUGUUAUAUGUGGCUGCUGGUGACAAUCUCUUAGAUUUUUUUUCCCUUUGUCCAAAACUACCUUCAUUUUACUUUCAACUUUGAAUGAUAAUUUCACUGUAUAUAACACACUAGAUUCCUUAGCAGUUAUAAAUGUUUCCUGGCUUCUGUCAUGUGUCAAAUACGUAGGCAAGGUGGAGGAACAAACCAAGUUUAUUGGGGAAAGUUUUUUGGGGUAACUCCUAUAAAAAAUAUAAAGGGAGCAAGCAGUCAUAAGGGUGAUCUGAAGCCUGUGAAGAGAAAAGGGGAAGGAAGACCCUCAUACCAUCUUCCAAAUCUGAAAAACCUUUGGGGAGCCCUGAAGCAAAUGUGACCCUCUGAGGAAUCCUACAUUACUUAGAAAUAACCAGGCCAUAGUACUCCUCUUUGCUUAGACCUUAAUUUGGUGCUGAGAAAAGAAUGGCCUUGACCAUUCAAGUUGAAGUACAUUCUGAAAGCACUGAAAGUGGAGGCUGUCAGCUAACCAUGUUCAGCACAAAUGAGUAGCAACUUCUCCUUGAAGGGAGAAAAGAGAGGCACAAUUCUAUGAUCACAGUCUACCUCCUGCACCCCAUUCAUUCAUUCUUUUAUAUACAUUUAAGGUGUACUUCCUCUGGGAUUCCAAUGGAUCUCUCUUUUUGGUUGAGAAAAAAGAAGGCAGCUGGUGGGACAAACAACAGUCACUACUGUAGUUGGUCUUGGAGGUCACAAUUAGAACUCAUUGUUGUCUCUCUUCCAUUCUAAUCUAAAGUCUUCUCACCUUCAGUACAAUUUCUCCUGGUUUCCAUGACUGGUUUCCAUGGAGUGAUAUAUGAGAUGUCCAAGUUUCUUAUAAUACCAUUCUUAGAAAGGAACUGGCACACAUGUUCAUUCAUAUGUACAUGCACAUGUUCAUUCAGACGGGGAAGUUUCAAGAGGCACCCAAGUAAACUUCUAUAAAUAUUCCUUUCUGGCCUCAUUAAAUAAAAGUAGUCCUAAUUUAUCAUUCUGAUAAGGAUCAAUUCUAGCAACAUGGAGACUCUUUUUCUUGGCUGCUAUUCUUUGGACUCAAGAAUUCCAAAGUACCCAGAUAACAGUCAGAGGAUUCAGGUCAAUGGGGACUUUGCUGAGUUCUUGUGGAAGAAUUUGCUCCUUUUGAAUACCAGGAACUAUAGAAGUCAGAAUGGUGGAGAUGAAAAGCAUAUUCUCAAAAUGGAUCACUGAAUCUUAGACAUAGUGCCAUAUAAGACAUUAAUUGAAGGUACAUUCUGCCUUUUAAGGGAUGGUGCCCUAUGCUCACAGAGUAGUGUGUCUGAGCUGACACUUCAGUAGUCCCUUCAGUAGAUUAUUACCAAGGUCUAGGGCUGGCUGAUUGGUUAUUAUACCAUGUGAUGUGACCAGUGGGUCCCAUGGUUUGGACCCACUUACAAAGCCUUCCACAUCUUUAUUCUGCACUGCUAUGUAGGAUUUUAUACUUCUUGCAUUAGGCUACUCCAGAGGAACAGAACCAGUAGAAUUUGUAUAUAUGUGUGAGAGAGAAUUUAUUCUAAGGAACUAACUCAUAUGAUCAUGGGAUCUGGCAUGUCUGAAGCUUGCAGAUCCAACUAGCAGGAAACAGAUUCAUCAAGAGAUAGAAAUAGAGAUAGAGAUGUAGAGAUAGAGACAGACAGAUGAUAGAGACAGAGACAGAGAAAGACAGAGACAGAGAGAGAGAGAUAGAGAUAGAGGAAGAGGGGUACUCCUAUUAAUUGCCCACCUAUUUGUCUCUAGAGAAGCUAUAUUCUAUUAAUCAUCUCCACAACACUUUGAAAAUGAUGUCCCCCUGUUUACUACUCCAACCUGAUCAGUCAUUAUGUUAAUUGAGACACUCCAUCUUCUGUAGUUAAGUGCUGGUUCUUAGCUUUUAUUACUUCCAGGGCCUUAUCUAUUUGGUUUUUUUCAGCUCUGUCACAAACUGAACUCCAUGGAAGCCUUCUCUGUCAGCCACUGUGCCUUGGGGAUCAGAGACACAAGUGAGCUUUUUAUUCAUCCUGCUGCCCCUCUAGCCAGAAGCCAGUGCAUUCCUGAGAACCAUGUUAAAGGGUGUAUCCUCUGGGCCUUCUCGUGGAACAACCUCUCAUACAGGGUUUCCCUCCAUCAAGGUUAAGUACGUCUCGAAGUCUCCAUGUUCAGUGACUAACUGAUCUUGAAUUCGGUUGCCCGAACAAGCAUAUCCAGUGUAAGCACUUUUACUGAGCACCCACCAAGUCAAAAGGAGCAUUUCAAGUGCUCUGGAACCUUCUGCUUUCAUUUACUAAUAAUCCUCAAACAGAAUGUCUGCUUCCGACAUUGGCUUCUGAAAUAGAACAGAAUCUUAAUUAGCUCAUGAGAAACUCCUACUUAAGUAGUCUUAGAGCAAAUGGACUCAUUUCCUUCUCUAAUAGAUCCUCCUGUUGUUUGACUGUGAUGAGAAUGGUCUUUUAAAAGAGGCCUCAGGUGUGAAACCAACUGUUCAGGCUCAUUGUCAGCUGCCGGCUCCUAGAGUAUUAAUUCAAAAUUAGCGAAAAUAUAAGACUAUGUCUACAUUGGCCAACUCUACUGCAAAAUUGAGCAAUUUUCAGUUAAGGGUGCAGCAUCCUCUACAAUGCCCUUGA